UUUUUGUGAAAGUACAUGCACAUGCUCCGAUGCACCAAAUGGGUUGAAUAAUCAUAUAUUUGUCCUUGAGUGAAUAUUUAGGUGCCAUGCAAGAAAUGGUAAUGAAUUUCAUCCAUCUGGCUAUCGUGGCUCGACCGCAAACAUUGUGAAACUUGACUUUUAAAUUCAUAUAAAUCCAAAACUAGUCUGAAAUUCAUGAAACUUCGCCUGGUGUCCUGACAUGGCAUCAACAUGUUGUGGUAUGUUUUUUAUCCAAUUUGGAAAGGCGCACAGAUUAAUAAUGAAUAAAGUUAUUUUGGAAUGAGCGGCUACGGCACCAUCACAAACAGAUGUAUUAUUACAACCGUAGGCUUUCUACUAAGCAUUUACGUGCCGUCAUGUGUCCCCCUUUUUAUUGGUUAGGAGGCGCCCUGCCGGAUAGCUAUUUGAGUGAGCGACACUCAGCAAAGACCACACUUUACCUCGAACCUUUUCUUUGCUGAGUUUUUUUACGGGACUCUCGACAAACAUCCUCUAUGCCUAUUACCCAUAGAGUUACACCUGGUAGAUGGGGAAAUACUCGGCAACCGUAUGUGAGAUCCUCGGUUGCUGCAAGGCAUUCUUAUUACAUGGAUUACAGUGAGGAACAUGGUAGCGGAGGAGUGCACAUGAGAGAGAGAAGAGAUAGGGAGAGAGAUGUAGGGAUAGAGUCCCUUAUGUAUUGGUCUCAACUACCCUUCAUACGGAUUGAAUUUGCUCAUGCCAAGCAUCAACUAAUGGAUCUCCGUGAUUUUAUCAGGAAUUUUAAAUGGCCCGAAAGCCCAUCAACUUUCAACAACAACAAGGCUUUCUGUUACACGGGGGGCAGUUCGCCCCGUCCCUUCCUGCAAGAAGGAUUCAUGAGUUGCAAAUUUGUUCUGCUAAAAAUAUGAGUUGCAAAUUUGUAUUCACAGUCCUGGAGCAUAUGGUAACACCUUACUAGCUAUCACCAUGGUGCACAUAAUUUCUAACUACUGCUUGAAGUAGAGCAUGCAUUUCCGAAACAAAGUAGAAAAUGAGUAAAGACAAAAGAAAGCUAUAAUUAAAUAGAAAGUCCAUAAAGCAAUUUUCUAUAUACAAAUAGCUAGCCCAUGUUAACCUAUUUCUCUCAAUAUGCAAGUGUGACUCAUCAUACAAGAUUCAUGGAAAAAGGUCCACCUCAAUAUGCAACCAUACAUGUAGUGAAAAACCACCUCAACAUGCCAAUAUGCAUGAGGAUUUCCAUUCUGUUAAGCUAUUUCAUUUUUUACUAAAUCGCAACUAUACAAUAAUCAAACACAAUAAAUCAUAUGUAUUUUUAGUUUUAGUUUCAUAUUAUAACUUCAAAUAUUGAAUAAAUCGUAUGAUAGUAUAAACCAUGCGAACUUGUGAUAGUAAAUGUAUAUUAUCCUUUUUCUUUUAUAUAUCAAUUAUCACACACUUUUUAUUUGAUUUGUAUCAUCUUCAUUAUAAAUCCAAUUUGAAUUUAGAACACAUAGGUAGAGUAAGUAUGAAGGUGACGUAAACAUUUAAUAAAAUUUCUGAGGAUAAUUUACCAUUCACACCUAAACUGUUUCGACGAUCAAAACCUUUAGGUCUCCUUUGGUUCAUAUGACAUAAAUAUCAUAGGAAUAGGAUAUACAUAGGAAGUCAGAUGACAUUUAUCUCAAUUCCUAUUGGAAAAAGAUGUGUUUAUUUUCAUAGGAUAGAAACUUCUUCAUUGGGUCUAGGCUAAUGUUAUUACUUUUUCCUUUAAAAUGUGAAUUAUUGGUUCCUAUCGUACAUAGAAAUCGGAAUCCAUUCGUAUAAAUCAAAGACCUCGAAAGAUUUUGUUCUUAUUAAAUUUAUAUCCUUUAGAAUUCCUACAAAAUUCUUCUAAACCGAACCAAAAGAAUCCUUAAGAAUGUUGUAAUACCCUGUGUCUCCAGAUAAGAAACAAACAUUUAUCCAGUGAGCUAAUUGAUACUACUAAUCUAUAGUAGGAUUUAGAAGACUGAAAGGCCAGAGCACAUACCGGCUGUUGGUCUUGUACCCGAUGGACAGGGAACCACCAGCCCUCCAGAUUGUGUCGUAAAGAGCAGAAUGAUCUCCAGUAUAACUAACAGAAGAACCAUGUUCAUGUGGCACCCCCAAGCCAUGGCAAAAAGUGAAAGCUGUUGCACCCGCCGCUCUGUUCUCGUCUCUUGCUACCCUUCUCCUUCUUGGUCUCUCUCUCUCUAUAUAUAUAUAUAAAGGAUGUGUAAAUAAAUUUGGAAUAGCUGUAGCAAGUAUGAAUCGAUGCUCUACUUUUGAAUGGUUGUAGACGCAGACACGCUUAAUUGGACUUUUGGAUGAUUGUAGCUGGGAGCUGG
rnacentral:lncRNA from 1 species